rnacentral:rRNA from 1 species
UACGUAGGUGGCGAGCGUUAUCCGGAAUUAUUGGGCGUAAAGAGCGCGCAGGUGGUUGAUUAAGUCUGAUGUGAAAGACCACGGCUUAACCGUGGAGGGUCAUUGGAAACUGGUCGACUUGAGUGCAGAAGAGGGAAGUGGAAUUCCAUGUGUAGCGGUGAAAUGCGUAGAGAUAUGGAGGAACACCAGUGGCGAAGGCGGCUUCCUGGUCUGUAACUGACACUGAGGCGCGAAAGCGUGGGGAGCAAACAGGAUUAGAUACCCCGGUA